rnacentral:misc_RNA from 1 species
GAUGAAGAACGUAGCGAAAUGCGAUAAGUAAUGUGAAUUGCAGAAUUCAGUGAAUCAUCGAAUCUUUGAACGCACAUUGCGCCCGCUGGUAUUCCGGCGGGCAUGCCUGUUCGAGCGUCAUUUCAACCCUCAAGCCCCCGGGUUUGGUGUUGGGGAUCGGCUCUGCCCUUCUGGGCGGUGCCGCCCCCGAAAUACAUUGGCGGUCUCGCUGCAGCCUCCAUUGCGUAGUAGCUAACACCUCGCAACUGGAACGCGGCGCGGCCAUGCCGUAAAACCCCAACUUCUGAAUGUUGACCUCGGAUCAGGUAGGAAUACCCGCUGAACUUAAGCAUAUCAAUAAGCGGAGG